AUGUAGGGCCAUCUGUCUUUAAGUAGGGAUACAUUACUGUAAAAAAGAAAAAGAAUCCUAGAUAGUUUUUCCUUCAAGUCAAGUAUUUGU
rnacentral:pre_miRNA from 4 species